GUCCACGCCGUAAACGAUGAGUGCUGGGUGUCGCGAGUUUGACCCUCGCGGUGCCGUAGCUAACGCGUUAAGCACUCCGCCUGGGGAGUACGGCCGCAAGGCUAAAACUCAAAGGAAUUGACGGGGCCCGCACAAGCGGUGGAGCAUGUGGUUUAAUUCGACGCAACGCGCAGAACCUUACCUGGGCUAGAAAAGGGCGGAAUCCCUCAGAAACGAGGGCGUGCCCGCAAGGGAACCGUCAUUCAGGUGCUGCAUGGCUGUCGU
rnacentral:rRNA from 1 species